GACGAACGCUGGCGGCGUGCUUAACACAUGCAAGUCGAACGGAAAGGCCAUGCUUUCGUUGGUUGCUCGAGUGGCCAACGCGUGCGGAAUACGUGUGUAACCUGCUCUCGUCUUUGGGAUACUUCAUGAUACUGGGGCUAAUACCGGGUAGGACCUCUUGCUGCAUGGUGGGGGUUGGGAUCUUUCGGCGGUUGGGGAUGGACUUGCGGCUUAUCAGCUUGUUGGUGGGGUAGUGGCUCACCAAGGCGUUGCCGGGUAGCCGGCCUGAGAGGGUGACCGGCCGCAUUGCGACUGAGAUACGGCCCAGACUCCUACGGGAGGCAGCAGGGGGGAAUAUUGCGCAAUGGGCGGAAGCCGGAUGCGGCAACGCCGGGUGCGGGAUGACGGCCUUCGGGUUGUAAACCGCUUUCGCCUGUGACGAAGCGUGAGUGACGGUAAUGGGUAAAGAAGCACCGGCUAACUACGUG
rnacentral:rRNA from 1 species